rnacentral:rRNA from 1 species
UACGAAGGGGGCUAGCGUUGCUCGGAAUUACUGGGCGUAAAGGGCGCGUAGGCGGCACUGUUAGCCAGGCGUGAAAGUCCUGGGCUCAACCUGGGAACUGCGCUUGAUACGGCAGAGCUAGAGGAUGGAAGAGGGUCGCGGAAUUCCCAGUGUAGAGGUGAAAUUCGUAGAUAUUGGGAAGAACACCGGUGGCGAAGGCGGCGACCUGGUCCAUUACUGACGCUGAGGCGCGACAGCGUGGGGAGCAAACAGG